rnacentral:rRNA from 1 species
GACGAACGCUGGCGGCGUGCUUAACACAUGCAAGUCGAACGGAAAGGCCCUGCUUUUGUGGGGUGCUCGAGUGGCGAACGGGUGAGUAACACGUGAGUAACCUGCCCUUGACUUUGGGAUAACUUCAGGAAACUGGGGCUAAUACCGGAUAGGAGCUCCUGCUGCAUGGUGGGGGUUGGAAAGUUUCGGCGGUUGGGGAUGGACUCGCGGCUUAUCCGCUUGUUGGUGGGGUAGUGGCUUACCAAGGCUUUGACGGGUAGCCGGCCUGAGAGGGUGACCGGCCACAUUGGGACUGAGGUACGGCCCAGACUCCUACGGGAGGCAGCAGGGGGGAAUAUUGCACAAUGGGCGGAAGCCUGAUGCAGCAACGCCGCGUGCGGGAUGACGGCCUUCGGGUGGUAAACCGCUUUCGCCUGUGACGAAGCGUGAGUGACGGUAAUGGGUAAAGAAGCACCGGCUAACUACGUG